AUUGAACGCUGGCGGCAUGCUUUACACAUGCAAGUCGAACGGUAACAGGGAGCUUGCUCCGCUGACGAGUGGCGAACGGGUGAGUAAUGCGUCGGAACGUGCCGAGUAGUGGGGGAUAACGCAUCGAAAGGUGUGCUAAUACCGCAUACGAACUGAGGUUGAAAGUGGGGGACCUUCGGGCCUCACGCUAUUCGAGCGGCCGACGUCUGAUUAGCUAGUUGGUGAGGUAAAGGCUCACCAAGGCGACGAUCAGUAGCGGGUCUGAGAGGAUGACCCGCCACACUGGGACUGAGACGCGGCCCAGACUCCUACGGGAGGCAGCAGUGGGGAAUUUGGGACAAUGGGCGCAAGCCUGAUCCAGCCAUGCCGCGUGUCUGAAGAAGGCCUUCGGGUUGUAAAGGACUUUUGUCCGGGAGCAAAUGCCUGGUGUUAAUAGCACUGGGAGCUGAGAGUACCGGAAGAAUAAGCACCGGCUAACUACGUGCCAGCCGCCGCCGUAAUAC
rnacentral:rRNA from 1 species